UAAAACGUAGGAGGCAAGCGUUAUCCGGAUUCACUGGGCGUAAAGCGCGUGCAGGUGGCGCGGUAAGUUAGGCGUGAAAUCUCCCGGCUCAACUGGGAGAGGUCGUCUAAUACUACCGUGCUUGAGAGCAGAAGAGGAAGAUGGAAUUCCCGGUGUAGUGGUGAAAUGCGUAGAUAUCGGGAGGAACACCAGUGGCGAAGGCGAUCUUCUGGUCUGUUUCUGACACUCAGACGCGACAGCUAGGGUAGUAAACGGGAUUAGAGACCCCGGUAAUCCUAGCCGUAAACGAUGUGAACUUGGCGUUGGUGGGUUAAACUCCAUCAGUGCCGUAGCAAACGCGAUAAGUUCACCGCCUGGGGACUACGGCCGCAAGGUU
rnacentral:rRNA from 1 species